rfam:Pan troglodytes isolate Yerkes chimp pedigree #C0471 (Clint) chromosome 10, whole genome shotgun sequence.
GCUGGGCGUGGUAGCUCACACCUGUAAUCCCAGCACUUUGGGAAGCUGAGGUGGGAGGAUCGCUUGAGUCCAGGGUUUCAAGACCAGCCUGGGCAACAUAGUGAGAUCCCAUCUUUA